rnacentral:rRNA from 1 species
CAUGCAGUCGAACGAGAAACCCUAGCUUGCUAGGGCGGAAAGUGGCGAACGGGUGCGUAACGCGUAGGCAACCUGCCCUCAGAUGGGGAAUAACUACUCGAAAGAGUAGCUAAUACCGCAUAACACCUUUUGACCGCAUGGUCGGGAGAUCAAAACUCCGGUGUCUGAGGAUGGGCCUGCGUUGGAUCAGGUAGUUGGUGAGGUAACGGCUCACCAAGCCCACGAUCCAUAGCUGGUCUGAGAGGAUGACCAGCCACACUGGCACUGAGACACGGGCCAGACUCCUACGGGAGGCAGCAGUGAGGAAUAUUGCGCAAUGGGCGAAAGCCUGACGCAGCCACGCCGCGUGAAGGAAGACACCCCUAUGGGGCGUAAACUUCUUUUAUGUGAGAAGAAUGCUCUGGUCUCCAGAGAGUGACGGUAUCACAUGAAUAAGCACCGGCUAACUCCGUGCCAGCAGCCGCGGUAAUACGGAGGGUGCAAGCGUUGUCCGGAAUCACUGGGUGUAAAGGGUGUGUAGGCGGGACAGUAAGUCAGAGGUGAAAUCCCACGGCUCAACCGUGGAACUGCCUUUGAUACUGCUGUUCUUGAGUAUCGGAGGGGUAGCUGGAAUUCGUGGUGUAGCGGUGAAAUGCGUAGAUAUCACGAGGAACACCAGAGGCGUAGGCGGGCUACUGGACGAUUACUGACGCUGANGCACGAAAGCGUGGGGAGCAAACAGGANUAGAUACCCUGGUAGUCCACGCCGUAAACGAUGAAUGCUCGGUGUCGCCUCCUUUGUGGGGCGUUGCCUAAGCUAACGCGUUAAGCAUUCCACCUGGGGAGUACGCUCGCAAGANUGAAACUCAAAGGAAUUGACGGGGGCCCNCACAAGCGNNGGANCAUGUGGNUUNA